UUUAAGUAACAUUUUCUAUGAAUUAAUAAUUUAUCAUAAUCCAUGGAGUCUGUCCAUAAUAACUAUGUCAUUGAGAGUUUUGUAAAGCUCAAUCAACUAUUAUAUCACUGCCAUAAUUAAUAUAGUUUAUUGCUGUCAUCCAUCUGUAGAGGUUUUCAAAAUGAAUUGUCCUAUUUCAUUAGUGCUUCAACGUCCACACGACUUCUAUCAAAACGUCUUGUUUAUUUAUCUAAAAUAAGAAUAUGGUUAUUAGCUCGAGAUCUAAAACGAAAGCACGUCGUCAACAAAUGAACAAACAUUGCCGACUUGUUAUGCUGAUUAAGGUUAAGACAUUGCUAACAAUUUUCAUAAAUGGUGUUUGAGCGGAAGAUUAAAAGGCAGUGAAUCGGUGAUGUGUACACGCUAUCUAUUUAACACCAUCUGUCCUCACAUAUGAUUGUACGAAACCCUUCAAUAACAGACUGUUGGGUAGAACCACAAAUAACAAAAGACCAAUUCAUCAAACAAUGUGUAACAAGAUACCUUUCCAUUAUAUCCAUAUUAAACAUAAAUAAUCACAUUGAUGUUUAAUUAGUGGUUUUAUGCAAAUUAAUAUUUCAUAUAAAAGUCGUUUAAAAGUUAUUUUGGUAAUUUAUUUAUAUAUUGAAGUGUAUUCCAGUUUAAAAUAAAAAC
rnacentral:lncRNA from 1 species